AUUGAACGCUGGCGGCAGGCCUAACACAUGCAAGUCGAGCGGAUGAAGGGAGCUUGCUCCUGGAUUCAGCGGCGGACGGGUGAGUAAUGCCUAGGAAUCUGCCUGGUAGUGGGGGAUAACGUCCGGAAACGGGCGCUAAUACCGCAUACGUCCUGAGGGAGAAAGGGGGGGAUCUUCGGACCUCACGCUAUCAGAUGAGCCUAGGUCGGAUUAGCUAGUUGGUGGGGUAAAGGCCUACAAAGGCGACGAUCCGUAACUGGUCUGAGAGGAUGAUCAGUCACAUUGGAACUGAGACACGGUCCAGACUCCUACGGGAGGCAGCAGUGGGGAAUAUUGGACAAUGGGCGAAAGCCUGAUCCAGCCAUGCCGCGUGUGUGAAGAAGGUCUUCGGAUUGUAAAGCACUUUAAGUUGGGAGGAAGGGCAGUAAGUUAAUACCUUGCUGUUUUGACGUUACCAACAGAAUAAGCACCGGCUAACUUCGUG
rnacentral:rRNA from 1 species